rnacentral:rRNA from 1 species
GACGAACGCUGGCGGCGUGCUUAACACAUGCAAGUCGAACGGAAAGGCCCUGCUUUUGUGGGGUGCUCGAGUGGCGAACGGGUGAGUAACACGUGAGUAACCUGCCCUUGACUUUGGGAUAACUUCAGGAAACUGGGGCUAAUACCGGAUAGGAGCUCCUGCUGCAUGGUGGGGGUUGGAAAGUUUCGGCGGUUGGGGAUGGACUCGCGGCUUAUCAGCUUGUUGGUGGGGUAGUGGCUUACCAAGGCUUUGACGGGUAGCCGGCCUGAGAGGGUGACCGGCCACAUUGGGACUGAGAUACGGCCCAGACUCCUACGUGAGGCAACAGUGGGGAAUAUUGCACAAUGGGCGGAAGCCUGAUGCAGCAACGCCGCGUGCGGGAUGACGGCCUUCGGGUUGUAAACCGCUUUCGCCUGUGACGAAGCGUGAGUGACGGUAAUGGGUAAAGAAGCACCGGCUAACUACGU